GAAGGCGGCUGUGCCCGAAAGGGAACUGGAACACAGGUGCUGCAUGGCUGUCGUCAGCUCGUGUCGUGAGAUGUUGGGUUAAGUCCCGCAACGAGCGCAACCCUUGUCAUUAGUUGCUACGCAAGGGCACUCUAGGGAGACUGCCGGUGACAAACCGGAGGAAGGUGGGGAUGACGUCAAGUCCUCAUGGCCCUUACACCCUGGGCUACACACGUGCUACAAUGGCGGUGACAGUGGGCAGCUACUUCGCGAGGAGCGGCUAAUCCCAAAAAACCGUCCCAGUUCAGAUUGCAGUCUGCAACUCGACUGCAUGAAGGUGGAAUCGCUAGUAAUCGCAGAACAGCAGGCUGCGGUGAAUACGUUCCCGGGCCUUGUACGCACCGCCCGUCACGGCAUGGGAGUUGGUUUUACCCGAAGACGGUGCGCUAACCCGCAAGGGAGGCAGCCGGCCACGGUAGGAUCAGCGACUGGGCCGAAGUCGUAACAAGGUAACCGUAA
rnacentral:rRNA from 1 species